UACGGAGGGAGCUAGCGUUGUUCGGAAUUACUGGGCGUAAAGCGCACGUAGGCGGCUUUGUAAGUUAGAGGUGAAAGCCUGGAGCUCAACUCCAGAAUUGCCUUUAAGACUGCAUCGCUUGAAUCCAGGAGAGGUGAGUGGAAUUCCGAGUGUAGAGGUGAAAUUCGUAGAUAUUCGGAAGAACACCAGUGGCGAAGGCGGCUCACUGGACUGGUAUUGACGCUGAGGUGCGAAAGCGUGGGGAGCAAAGCAGG
rnacentral:rRNA from 1 species